rnacentral:lncRNA from 1 species
GAGCUUAAUAGGACAAGGAACUUUAAGAGUUAGAUCGAGUUAAGGUUGGUCAGUUUAAUUGAUAUCUAAAAAAAGUAGUUCAGAGAUUACGUCUCAAAGGAAGGUGGUUCAUUAAUUAGUUCUGUUUGCUGACCUGGCCAACACAGUUGGUGUCUAAGGAAAGCAACGGAGGGACCCCCACCAACCUUAUACUUAUCUGGUCAAUUAAGUGGCUAGCUUUUUAUUUGGAGUGCUCAAAGAUGAUCUUGGUAGUUAGGAGCUGUCU